AACUUUGCGCAGUGGCAGUAUCAUAACCAAUGAAGUUAAUCUGAGGUGUGAUUAUUGCUAGUUGAAAACUUUUAAUAUGACUGG
rnacentral:snRNA from 1 species